rnacentral:rRNA from 1 species
GAUGAACGCUGGCGGCGUGCUUAACACAUGCAAGUCGAACGGGAAACUUUUCAUUGAAGCUUCGGCAGAUUUGGUCUGUUUCUAGUGGCGGACGGGUGAGUAACGCGUGGGUAACCUGCCUUAUACAGGGGGAUAACAACCAGAAAUGGUUGCUAAUACCGCAUAAGCGCACAGGACCGCAUGGUCCGGUGUGAAAAACUCCGGUGGUAUAAGAUGGACCCGCGUUGGAUUAGCUAGUUGGCAGGGUAACGGCCUACCAAGGCGACGAUUCAUAGCCGGCCUGAGAGGGUGAACGGCCACAUUGGGACUGAGACACGGCCCAGACUCCUACGGGAGGCAGCAGUGGGGAAUAUGGCACAAUGGGGGAAACCCUGAUGCAGCGACGCAGCGUGAAGGAAGAAGUAUCUCGGUAUGUAAACUUCUAUCAGCAGGGAAGAUAGUGACGGUACCUGACUAAGAAGCCCCGGCUAACUACGUGCCAGCCGCCGCCGUAA